rnacentral:rRNA from 1 species
AGUGAACGCUGGCGGUAGGCCUAACACAUGCAAGUCGAACGGCAGCACAGUAAGAGCUUGCUCUUACGGGUGGCGAGUGGCGGACGGGUGAGGAAUACAUCGGAAUCUACUUUUUCGUGGGGGAUAACGUAGGGAAACUUACGCUAAUACCGCAUACGACCUACGGGUGAAAGCAGGGGAUCUUCUGACCUUGCGCGAUUGAAUGAGCCGAUGUCGGAUUAGCUAGUUGGCGGGGUAAAGGCCCACCAAGGCGACGAUCCGUAGCUGGUCUGAGAGGCUGAUCAGCCACACUGGAACUGAGACACGGUCCAGGCUCCUACGGGAGGCAGCAGUGGGGAAUAUUGGACAAUGGGCGCAAGCCUGAUCCAGCCAUACCGCGUGGGUGAAGGAGGCCUUCGGGUUGUAAAGCCCGUUUGUUGGGAAAGAAAAGCAGCAGGUUAAUACCCCGCUGUUCUGACGGUACCCAAAGAAUAAGCACCGGCUAACUUCGUG